GACGAACGCUGGCGGCGUGCUUAACACAUGCAAGUCGAACGGAAAGGCCCUGCUUUUGUGGGGUGCUCGAGUGGCGAACGGGUGUGUAACACGUGAGUAACCUGCCCUUUACUUUGGGAUAACUUCAGGAAACUCGGGCUAAUACCGGAUAUGAGCUCCUGCUGCAUGGUGGUGGUUGGUGAGAUUCGGCGGUUGGGGAUGGACUCGCGGCCUAUCAGCUUGUUGGUGGGGUAGUGGCUUACCGAGGCGUUGAGGGGUGGCCGGCCUGGGAGUGUGACCGGCCACAUUGGGACUGGGGUAGCGCCCAGACUGCUACGGGAGGCAGCAGUGGGGAUUAUUGCACAAUAGGCGGAAGCAUGGUACAGCAACGCCGCGUGCGGGAUGACGGCCUUCGGGUUGUAACCCGCUUUCGACUGGAAAGAAGAGUAAGUGACGGUAACGGGUAAGGAAGCAACGGCUAACUACGUG
rnacentral:rRNA from 1 species